rnacentral:rRNA from 1 species
GGCUGUUCUCAGCUCGUGUCGUGAAAUGUUGGGUUAAGUCCCGCAACGAGCGCAACCCUUAUCCUUUGUUACCAGCGGUUGGGGGGGGGAAUUAACGGAGACUGCCAGUGAUAAAUCGGAGGAAGGUGGGGAUGACGUCAAGUCAUCAUGGCCCUUAUGUCCAGGGCUACACACGUGCUACAAUGGGCGGUACAAAGGGAAGCGAACUCGCGAGGUCGAGCGAACCCCAUAAAGCCGGUCGUAGUCCGGAUUGCAGUCUGCAACUCGCCUGCAUGAAGUCGGAAUCGCUAGUAAUCGGGA